ACGCACGCUGGCGGCGUGCUUCACACAUGCCAGUCGAACGGAAAGGCCCUGCUUGCAGGGUGCUCGAGUGGCGAACGGGUGAGUAACACGUGGGUGAUCUGCCCUGCACUUCGGGAUAAGCCUGGGAAACUGGGUCUAAUACCGGAUAGGAGCCAUUUUUAGUGUGAUGGUUGGAAAGUUUUUUCGGUGUAGGAUGAGCUCGCGGCCUAUCAGCUUGUUGGUGGGGUAAUGGCCUACCAAGGCGGCGACGGGUAGCCGGCCUGAGAGGGUGGACGGCCACAUUGGGACUGAGAUACGGCCCAGACUCCUACGGGAGGCAGCAGUGGGGAAUAUUGCACAAUGGGCGCAAGCCUGAUGCAGCGACGCCGCGUGGGGGAUGACGGCCUUCGGGUUGUAAACUCCUUUCGCUAGGGACGAAGCUUUUUGUGACGGUACCUAGAUAAGAAGCACCGGCUAACUACGUG
rnacentral:rRNA from 1 species